rnacentral:rRNA from 1 species
GACGAACGCUGGCGGCGUGCUUAACACAUGCAAGUCGAACGGAAAGGCCCUGCUUUUGUGGGGUGCUCGAGUGGCGAACGGGUGAGUAACACGUGAGUAACCUGCCCUUGACUUUGGGAUAACUUCAGGAAACUGGGGCUAAUACCGGAUAGGAGCUCCUGCUGCAUGGUGGGGGUUGGAAAGUUUCGGCGGUUGGGGAUGGACUCGCGGCUUAUCAGCUUGUUGGUGGGGUAGUGGCUUACCAAGGCUUUGACGGGUAGCCGGCCUGAGAGGGUGACCGGCCACAUUGGAACUGAGAUACGGCCCAGACUCCUACGGGAGGCAGCAGUGGGGAAUAUUGCACAAUGGGCGGAAGCCUGAUGCAGCAACGCCGCGUGCGGGAUGACGGCCUUCGGGUUGUAAACCGCUUUCGCCUGUGACGAAGCGUGAGUGACGGUAAUGGGUAAAGAAGCACCGGCCAACUACGUG